AAUUUGUCAUACCAUGCCCUUUAUUUGAUUGCUAGCAAAGGCAUCAUCACACAACACACUGCUGGAAAUCCUAUCACUCACACAUCAGAAAAUACUUAUGAAGACAACCACGGUGAUGAUGUUCUAAAUACCCACAUUGAAACCUCAUAAGAAACCAACAACCCUACCCAAGAAACCAUAUCCAUGGCACCAAGAAGGCCAUCACGACCACAUUAUCCACCUUCCUACCUAAAAGACUUCCAUUGCAACCUCACUUCCCAAAGGAAAUCAGCCCUUUAUUUGAUUGCUAGCAAAGGCAUCAUCACACAACACACUGCUGGAAAUCCUAUCACUCACACAUCAGAAAAUACUUAUGAAGACAACCACGGUGAUGAUGUUCUAAAUACCCACAUUGAAACCUCAUAAGAAACCAACAACCCUACCCAAGAAACCAUAUCCAUGGCACCAAGAAGGCCAUCACGACCACAUUAUCCACCUUCCUACCUAAAAGACUUCCAUUGCAACCUCACUUCCCAAAGGAAAUCAGCCUUUUCCCUCACCAAAUACCUCUCAUAUACUGCAUAUACCCAGAACCAC
rnacentral:lncRNA from 1 species